rnacentral:rRNA from 1 species
ACGGGAGGCAGCAGUGGGGAAUAUUGGACAAUGGGGGGAACCCUGAUCCAGCCAUGCCGCGUGUGUGAAGAAGGCCUUUUGGUUGUAAAGCACUUUAAGCGAGGAGGAGGCUACUAGUAUUAAUACUACUGGAUAGUGGACGUUACUCGCAGAAUAAGCACCGGCUAACUCUGUGCCAGCAGCCGCGGUAAUACAGAGGGUGCGAGCGUUAAUCGGAUUUACUGGGCGUAAAGCGUGCGUAGGCGGCUGAUUAAGUCGGAUGUGAAAUCCCUGAGCUUAACUUAGGAAUUGCAUUCGAUACUGGUCAGCUAGAGUAUGGGAGAGGAUGGUAGAAUUCCAGGUGUAGCGGUGAAAUGCGUAGAGAUCUGGAGGAAUACCGAUGGCGAAGGCAGCCAUCUGGCCUAAUACUGACGCUGAGGUACGAAAGCAUGGGGAGCA